GCCAGCGGAUCGUCAGGGCUGGGAGAGAUCCUCCAUACGAUCCAGCCCUGCCGCUGUAAUUCCGGACCCACCACACCGCGGCACCCCGAGCCACAGCCCGGCGCCUCCUGAGCACCUCCCCUGCGACUGGCCUCUCUGGGCAGCCCGUGCCAAUGCCUGCCCGCCUGUGUGGCAAAAUGCGGAAUACCUGAAAGUUUCUGAAGAAGGGGUGUUCUUUAAUCAUGGAAUCAUAACGUAUCCUGAGUUAGAAGGGAGCCACAAGGGGCUCCGUCCCCACCGCGCACGGCGUCAGGGACCACAGAGUGCGGCCCCGGUGCCAGAGUGGGGACAGGCUGGCACAGGAAUGGAAAGGAUUUAGGUUAAUGACUCUUAUCUUACGGAGCCAGCCUGGCAGAGCUGGGGCUGUUCAGCUGCACAAGAGAAGGCUCCAGGGAGAGCUCAGAGCCCCUGCCAGGGCCUCAAGGGGCUCCAGGAGAGCUGCACAGGGACUGGGGACAAGGCAUGCAGGGACAGCACACAGGCAAUGGCUUCCACUGCCAGAGGGCAGGCACAGGUGAUGGAGCAGUGUGAACCCACAGCUCCCAGGCCAGGACUGUCCCAGAGGCCUCCUGCAGCACGUCCUGCUGAUGCCAGGCUCCCCACCUGCCUGGGCUGGAGGAAAACAGAAAGUAAAACAUUGGCUGUGCGUGCCUAAGAGGACCCUGGUCCCUGGCUUUCCUCACUGGGAAUGUAUAUGGGAUAUAGAAUGUACAUAGGAUAUGGUCUGUUCUGGAUUGGCUGGACUGAAUUCUCCUUCCUGAAACCUCUCACUAAGGAAUGGUCCAUGAACCUCAUAUAUUCACAGAACCACAGAAUCCCAGGAUGGUUUGGGUGGGAAGGGACCUUAAAGCCUGUCCCAUGCCACCUCUGCCAUGAGCAGGGACACCUUCCACUGUCCCAGGGUGCUCCGUUGGCAGAAGGGAAGGGCUGGGAAGGCACAGGAGAAGGACAGCACGUGCUGACGGAUGGAGGAACUCAGCAAACCAGAGCCCAUUUUCAGGAGCAAAAUCUGCAGUGGGAAAAUCUGGCAAGGACAGUAGGGCCUUUCUGUCCUUCAGGGAAGUAUAAGAAACUGAUUGGUAUCAGCUAACAGACAAUUCCCACUUUGUACACAAGAAACUUUCAACUUCUUCCUCUAGAAGGAAAAUUAACUCUAUUUAAGGGAACCAAAUUCCUCCCCACUCCUCAUAAAAGACAGUUUUCCCUACAAUGGCUGCCUGUUCUCUUUGUCUGGGAUUGUGGUGGCCACAUGAGCCAGUGCUUGGGUGCACCAGCCCCCAUCCCUCUGCAGGAUCAAAUGUCCUUCUGUCCUGCAGAUGCCCCUGGCUUCCCAGGCUGGGGCUUUCAGAAGUUGCCAGUUCCUCCCUGGUUAUGAAUCCCCCUGAGGCUUCCUCACUGGUCACUGUUCACACCAUCUCAGGUUCCUCCAGCCAGGCUUUCUUGUGAUUCUUUCUCCAGGCAGUCUUCAAAAUACUUACUUAGGGAAACCAUGACUCUUGGUUUUUUGUGUCUUUUGGGUACAUUUUUU